rnacentral:rRNA from 1 species
AUUGAACGCUGGCGGCAGGCCUAACACAUGCAAGUCGAGCGGAUGAAGGGAGCUUGCUCCUGGAUUCAGCGGCGGACGGGUGAGUAAUGCCUAGGAAUCUGCCUGGUAGUGGGGGAUAACGUCCGGAAACGGGCGCUAAUACCGCAUACGUCCUGAGGGAGAAAGUGGGGGAUCUUCGGACCUCACGCUAUCAGAUGAGCCUAGGUCGGAUUAGCUAGUUGGUGGGGUAAAGGCCUACCAAGGCGACGAUCCGUAACUGGUCUGAGAGGAUGAGCAGUCACACUGGAACUGAGACACGGUCCAGACUACUACGGGAGGCAGCAGUGGGGAAUAUUGGACAAUGGGCGAAAGCAUGAUCCAGCCAUGCCGCGUGUGUGAAGAAGGUCCUCGGAUUGUAAAGCACUUCAAGUUGGGAGGAAGGGCAGUAAGUUAAUACCUUGCUGUUUUGACGUUAACAACAGAAUAAGCACCGGCUAACUUCGUG